AGAACGUGCUUAAGAGUCCACUAUGAGGGGA
rnacentral:piRNA from 1 species